AGCUCUUUAACUCUUAUUGCCUUAUAAGAUGCUCUGAUAGAGAAUCCUGAAAACAAACAUCCCGAAGUUACAAUAUAGACCCUUUCCUGGGGGUAGUCAGCCCUUAAAUGCUAUCUUGGAGAGCUGCAGCCAGGCUCCACCUUCUAUUCACACUCUGGAUUGACUCCACCUGUGCUCCCACAGCUGACUGAGUUCUGCCUCAGCCGAUCAAUCAGUGGUUCAGGCCAUGACUCAGCAGCUCCCAUUCACCUGGGGAGGUGCAGCCCUGCGAGCACAGCUGAUGGCAAUUUGGCUGUGGGGUGGGGCUGAGACGGGCUCCUCCCCUCCCUGACCGCAUUUAAGGGCUGGGAAGCAAAGGGGGCAGCAUCUGAGUCUGGCUGUGCUUCCUUGAGGGUGUGGGGGUGAGUUCUUCUGUAUUGGAGGGCUGUGAUCUACCCCUUUGCUGGGGGUUCAUAGCUGCAUUUUGGGGCUGGCAGCCAUCUGUACCUGGAAACUGCUUCUUUGGGGGAGCGAUUCCCUUGCUUCUGGAUUGCUUCAAUGAGCCCUAAUGAUGCUGAUUGGCUGACUGAGCGCUGCGUUCUGGACACGUUUGCAGCUCAGUGGGUUUUAAGGAUUGUUGGGACUCCUCUAAUCGGUGGUGUGAGGCCUGUGGAGCAGCUAAUGGAACAUCACGACUAUGCUGACUUCCCCAGGGUCUUACGGUCAUUUCUGUUUCACCAGCAGAUCUGGGUGGCAGCAGAGAGCUGCAGCGCUCCCGAGUGCUGUAACGACUGCACGGAGAGAUGUGCGGAUCUUCACGGGAACAGCAAGGAACCGAAAGCUGCAUUUCCUGGGAUGCCCUGGAACUCCACUUUGCUGACUGGUAAUUGUCUGCCCAGCAGGUGGCAGCAGAGAGCUGCAGCGCUCCCGAGUGCUGUAAUGACUGCACGGAGAGAUGUGCGGAUCUUCACGGGAACAGCAAGGAACCGAAAGCUGCAUUUCCUGGGAUGCCCUGGAACUCCACUUUGCUGACUGGUAAUUGUCUGCCCAGCAGGUAAGGACAAUGCACACCCACCAGUGUUUACCCCUUACUGAGUGAGACACAAGGUAGGGUUCCUAGAGCUCCUUUCUGCACUUCAGGGUUCCCCGAAGGCUGCCCGUCCUAUUCUUUGCACGUUCUCCUUGGCUCUGGCCUUUCACGGCGGUGUUCUCCUUCCCUUUGCCCUUGGCGUUCCCUACUGCAUUCUCUUG
rnacentral:lncRNA from 7 species